rnacentral:tRNA from 2 species
GCCGGCAUGUCGGAAUUGGCAGACGAGACAGACUCAAAAUCUGUUGUCUUUGCGGGCGUGUGGGUUCGAGUCCCACUGCCGGCACCA